rnacentral:rRNA from 1 species
UGGGGAAUCUUGCGCAAUGGCCGCAAGGCUGACGCAGCGACGCCGCGUGUGGGAUGACGGCCUUCGGGUUGUAAACCACUGUCGGGAGGAACGAAUACUCGGCUAGUCCGAGGGUGACGGUACCUCCAAAGGAAGCACCGGCUAACUCCGUGCCAGCAGCCGCGGUAAUACGGAGGGUGCGAGCGUUGUCCGGAAUCACUGGGCGUAAAGGGCGCGUAGGUGGCCCGUUAAGUGGCUGGUGAAAUCCCGGGGCUCAACUCCGGGGCUGCCGGUCAGACUGGCGAGCUAGAGCACGGUAGGGGCAGAUGGAAUUCCCGGUGUAGCGGUGGAAUGCGUAGAUAUCGGGAAGAAUACCAGUGGCGAAGGCGUUCUGCUGGGCCGUUGCUGACACUGAGGCGCGACAGCGUGGGGAGCAAACAGGAUUAGAUACCCCCGUAGUCC